AUUGAACGCUGGCGGCAGGCCUAACACAUGAAAGUCGAACGAGUGGCGGACGGGUGAGUAAUGUCUGGGAAACUGCCUGAUGGAGGGGGAUAAAUACUGGAAACGGUAGCUAAUACCGCAUACAAUCGGAUGUGCCCAGAUGGGAUUAGCUAGUAGGUGGGGUAAAGGCUCACCUAGGCGACGAUCCCUAGCUGGUCUGAGAGGAGGACCAUCCUCACUGGAACUGAGACACUGUCCAGACUCCUACGGGCGGCAGCAGUGGGUAAUAUUGCACAAUGGGCGCAAGCCAGAUGCAGCCAUGCCGCGUGUAUGAAGAAGGCCUUCGGGUUGUAAAGUACUUUCAGCGUGGAGGCGUUACCCGCAUAAGAAGGACCGGCUAACUCCGUGUCAGCAGCCGCGGUAAUUC
rnacentral:rRNA from 1 species